rnacentral:misc_RNA from 1 species
GCAAACUUGGUCAUUUAGAGGAAGUAAAAGUCGUAACAAGGUUUCCGUAGGUGAACCUGCGGAAGGAUCAUUAAUGAGUUGAAACUGGGUUGUUGCUGGCUUUUCGAAGCAUAUGUGCACGCCCUAUCUCAAUCCACACACACCUGUGAACUUAUGGGGGAGAACAAUGGAGCGACGCUGGAUAACGGCUGAGCUCUAGUUCUCUCUUAUUAUACCAAACUACAGUCAUAGAACGUCUUUUUGCUUGAUGCAAACUAAAUACAACUUUCAACAACGGAUCUCUUGGCUCUCGCAUCGAUGAAGAACGCAGC